UACAGAGGUCUCAAGCGUUGUUCGGAUUCAUUGGGCGUAAAGGGCGCGUAGGCGGCGAGGUAAGUCGGGUGUGAAAUCUCAGAGCUCAACUCUGAAACUGCAUUCGAUACUGCCGUGCUUGAGGACUGGAGAGGAGACUGGAAUUUACGGUGUAGCGGUGAAAUGCGUAGAUAUCGUAAGGAAGACCAGUGGCGAAGGCGGGUCUCUGGACAGUUCCUGACGCUGAGGCACGAAGGCCAGGGGAGCAAACGGG
rnacentral:rRNA from 1 species